AACGUAGGAGACAAACGUUAUCCGGAGUUACUGGGCGUAAAGCGCGUGUAGGCGGCUCUGCAAGUCGGAUGUGAAAGCCCUGGGCUCAACCUAGGAAGUGCACUCGAAACUGCAGAGCUUGAGUCUCGGAGAGGAUCGCGGAAUUCUCGGUGUAGAGGUGAAAUUCGUAGAUAUCGAGAGGAACACCGGUGGCGAAGGCGGCGAUCUGGACGAUGACUGACGCUGAGACGCGAAAGCGUGGGGAGCAAACAGG
rnacentral:rRNA from 1 species